rnacentral:rRNA from 1 species
AGCGAACGUUAGCGGCGGGCCUAACACAUGCAAGUCGAGCGAGAAAGGGGCUUCGGCCCUGAGUAAAGCGGCGGACGGGUGAGUAACACGUAGGUAAUCUUCCUUCGAGCGGGGGACAACGAGCCGAAAGGCUCGCUAAUACCGCAUACGUUCCCAGGGACUCUGGUCCUUGGGAGGAAAGCUAGGUAGCAAUAUCCGGCACUCGAUGAGGAGCCUGCGUCGCAUCAGCUAGUUGGUGGGGUAACGGCCUACCAAGGCGAAGACGCGUAGCUGGUCUGAGAGGAUGAUCAGCCACACUGGGACUGAGACACGGCCCAGACUCCUACGGGAGGCAGCAGUGGGGAAUAUUGGACAAUGGGCGCAAGCCUGAUCCAGCCACGCCGCGUGAGUGAUGAAGGCCUUCGGGUCGUAAAGCUCUGUGGGGAGGGACGAACCGCUGCACGUGAAUAUCGUGCAGCAUGACGGUACCUCCUUAGCAAGCACCGGCUAACUUCGUGCCAGCCGCCGCAGUAACAC